UCUGGAGGCUGACUGGUGCAGCCUAUCUUGUCAUCAGCCACGGUGCAAUAAAAGGGAGGACUGCCAGCAUAUCAGCGGCUGACUGUUUUGCCCCAGUGGUAUUACAACCGGCUCUCCUCGAAUCUCACGUUUUAAAGUGUUCUUGUCAAGCCAAGCUCUCAGUAACCUUUGCCUCUCUUAUUGCUCUAUGCUUCACUGCUUUGGUUUAGAAGAACCUCUGGAAUUCCCACGGACCGUGAACUUCACCGGACAUCUUACUAGGCUGGCAGUCCGAAUGGAUCAGUGUACCGCUCCAGCCGCGAAUCCGGUCAGCCCCUCCUCAAAGGAUUAUUUCCCUGGCUCCUGCUGACAUCGUUCUCUGGAUCAGCUCUCAGUCCUGACGCGUCCUUUCCCUGGCGGAUACCGACGCCCCAUCAGUAACUUCUGGAAGGAGUUGAGGGAGGACAGCCUAAAUGCCACAUGGUCCCACUGCGACCCCCACCACCUUCUUUCCCCUGCGGGACCAUCACCAACAGGGUUGUUUCUAUUUUAUCUUCAAAGUUUUAUCUUAAAUGUUUGUUUUUAUUUCAAUUUGCUUUUUAGCUCUUAUGUUUUUGUUGGUUUUACUAUUGUUUUUAUCAGUGUUUGCUCACUGAUUGUUUUGCACUGUACAGCACUUUAAAUUUUUUAUAUAUAUUGAAUAAUAAAUAAUCAAUAAUGCUAUUAUUACAAUAAUAAAUAAUAUUAAAUAAUCCAACCCAACUAAAACAAAUUACAGAAUGAAUAAAUCAUUAUAUUUUUAUCCAGUCCGAUUUUAUAAAUAAAUUCAAUAAUGUUCUUUCUGUUAUUCAUAGAAGCUGCACCUGGCCUGGCGUUCUCCUUAGAUGUUACACCUUCCUGGAGAGGGCAUCGGCUGAGGUACUGCUUCAAGUUCUUUCUCUCUUCCUCUGUUUGUCUGCUCUGUCUUCUCAAAUUCCAAGGUUCUCUCCGAGUACUCCGGCUUUUUCCCAUAGUUCAAAAGACGAUGAAGCCAAUAAAGGAGCUACAACUGAAUUUAAUGUUUUACUUUUUUCCCCCAAAGAAAGUACAACUGGAUCAGUGAUUCAUGUUUUCUUUUUAUUUGUUCUGCUCUGUCUUCUCAAAUUCCAGGGUUCUCUCUAGGUACUCUGACUUUUUCCCACAGUCCAAAAGACGAUGAAGCCAAUAAAGGAGCUACAACUACCUUUAAUGUUUUACUUUUUUCCCAUAGAAAGUACUUCUGAAUUAGUCUUCUGUGUUUUCUUUUUGUUUGUCUGCUCUGUCUUCUCAAAUUCCAGGAUUCUCCAUUGUCGAAGAACUCAGGAACUGGAACACGAAGUAGGUCAACCAGGACAGCCUCGUCGAAGAAAUCUGAAACUGGAAGAUGAGGUGGGUCCACCUGGACACCCUCGACAAAGAACACAGGAACAGGAUGGACUACGCUGCCAGCGUAAUGUUUUACUUGUUUCCCAUAGAAAGUAAUUCUGAAUAAGUGCUUCCGUGUUUUCUUUUUGUUUGUCUGCUCUGUCUUCUAAAAUUCCAGGAUUCUCUCCGUGUACUCGGGCUUUUUCCCAGAGCCCAAAAGAAGAUGAAGCCAAUAUAGGAGCUACAACUGCCUUUAAUGUUUUACUUUUCUUUCCAACAGAAAUGACUGCUGAAUCAGUGCUGCUGCGAAAUUUUUGGGGUAUUUUCCAUGUUCACAAACCCCUAGUCGGUCAUGGCAGAUGGCCGCUCACACUGAGCCAGGUUCUGCUGGAGGUUUCUUCCUGUUAAAGGGGAGUUAUCCUUUGCGCUGUUGCUACAUCCUUGCUUGGUAUGAGGGAUUGCUGCAAAGUCAAAGACACAAUGCAAACAAACAACUGUCACUCCAUGCUUGUCUUGGAGGACUGCUGCAAGUCAAUUACUCGAUGCAAUCUGCUGGGUUUCCUUACAUAGAAAACUUUUAACCAAUUGGAAUAAAUGUCCUUGAAUAGAAAUCUGUCUUUUUGAUUCAAUUGAAUCGACUUUUUUAAGUGCUUUGAGACGGCUGUUUUGAUUUUGAGCUAUUAAAUAAACUGAAUUUAA